AUUUAAGUAGCUUAUAAUUAGAGUAUAAUAUUGAAGAUGUUAUGGAGAUUAAAAAAUCCUUAAAUA
rnacentral:tRNA from 1 species